UUCUGUAGGUGAACCUGCGGAAGGAUCAUUGUCGAAACCU
rnacentral:rRNA from 1 species